AUUGAACGCUGGCGGCAGGCCUAACACAUGCAAGUCGAGCGGAGCGGCGGACGGGUGAGUAAUGACUAGGAAUCUGCCUGGUAGUGGGGGAUAACGCACGGAAACGGGCGCUAAUACCGCAUACUAUCAGAUGAGCCUAGGUCGGAUUCGAUAGUUGGUGGGGUAAAGGCCUACCAAGGCGACGAGCCGUAACUGGUCUGAGAGGAUGAUCAGUCACACUGGCCCUUCGACACGGUCCAGACUCCUACGGGAGGCAGCAGUGUGGAAUAUUGGACAAUGGUCGAAAGCCUGAUCCAGCCAGGCAGCGUGUGUGAAGAAGGUUUUCGGAUUGUAAAGCACUUUAAGUUGGGAGGCGUUACCAACAGAGUAAGCACCGGCUAACUUCGUGCCAGCAGCCGCGGUAAUUC
rnacentral:rRNA from 1 species